AGCGAACGCUGGCGGCAGGCCUAACACAUGCAAGUCGAACGAACUCUUCGGAGUUAGUGGCGGACGGGUGAGUAACACGUGGGAACGUGCCUUUUGGUUCGGAAUAACUCAGGGAAACUUGUGCUAAUACCGAAUGUGCCCUUCGGGGGAAAGAUUUAUCGCCAUUAGAGCGGCCCGCGUCUGAUUAGCUAGUUGGUGAGGUAACGGCUCACCAAGGCGACGAUCAGUAGCUGGUCUGAGAGGAUGACCAGCCACACUGAGACUGAGACACGGCCCAGACUCCUACGGGAGGCAGCAGUGGGGAAUCUUGCGCAAUGGGCGAAAGCCUGACGCAGCCAUGCCGCGUGAAUGAUGAAGGUCUUAGGAUUGUAAAAUUCUUUCACCGGGGACGAUAAUGACGGUACCCGGAGAAGAAGCCCCGGCUAACUUCGUG
rnacentral:rRNA from 1 species